rnacentral:misc_RNA from 1 species
AAGUCGUAACAAGGUUUCCGUAGGUGAACCUGCGGAAGGAUCAUUACCGAGAGACGGGGUCUAACCGGCCCCACUCUUCACCCGUGUAUACCUACCAUGUUGCUUUGGCGGGCCCCAGGGCUCCUGGCCCUGCGCCGGUGGGAGGCCAUCUGUGUUUCCUCCCGGCGAGCGCUCGCCGAAGGCCCUGCAAACUCUGGUUUUAGUGUCGUCCGAGUAGAAACCUAAUAGUUAAAACUUUCAACAACGGAUCUCUUGGUUCUG